UGCUGCUAGCGACAUUCAAACUGUGCUCCAGGAGCUCCUACAGACACAUGCGCAACAUGAAGGGGCUGAGGCAACAGGCUGUGAGGGGGCAUCGGGCAGGAGCUUAACCGGAGGGCCCUGGGGGCCCCACCCCAAGCGCUUGGAUUAACCAGGUUCCGCGGCGGAGCUCUCUGCUUCGUUCUCUGCUGGAAGAGACUCUCUACUCUCUACAGUGACCAGGAGCUGACCUAUCUCCAGCAGUGGGGAGGAGGCCAUGCAGAAGGCCUUGGGCAUCCUUAGCCCUCGGCAACUACGAGGGCUGGAAGAAGGAGAGCCAGCAGGACAAUGGGGAUAAAGUGAUGAGUAAAGUGGUUCCAGAUGGGGCAAGGUGUUCCGGCUGGAAGUCGUGGUGGACCAGCCCAUGGAGAGGCUCUACAAAGAGCUCGUGGAGUGCAUGGAGGCAAUGGGGGAGUGCAACUCCAAUAUCAAGGCGAUCAAGGUCUUGCAGAAGAUGAUCAGAAAAGAUACAUUCAUUGCCCAUGAGCUGGCUGCAGAGGCAGCAGGAAACCUAGUGGGGCCUUGUGACUCUGUGAGCAUGUGCUGUGCCAAGCGUCAAGGCUCCACCUGUGUGCUGGCUGGCAUGGCCACAGACUUCGGGAACAUGCCCGAGCAGAAGGGUGUCAUCAGGGGGAGCAUGGUCCCACUUGCAUGGUGCUUCACCUGGUGACUGGAAGUCCCUCCAAGACCAAACUUACAUGACUGCUCAGCAUCGACCUCAAGGGGUGGCUUCCCAAGAGCAUCAUCAACCAGGUCCUGUCCCAGACCCAGGUGGAUUUUGCCAACCACCUGCACAAGCGCCUGGAGUCCCACCCUGCCUCUGAAGCCAGGUG
rnacentral:lncRNA from 1 species